CCUUGACUAACGCUGGCGGCGUGCCUAACACAUGCAAGUCGAACGAGGUAGCAAUACCUAGUGGCAGACGGGUGAGUAACACGUGGUCAACCUUCCCUAGAGUGGGGGAUAACUAGCCGAAAGGUUAGCUAAUACCGCAUACGAUCGUCGAGGGGCAUCCCUUGACGAUGAAAGGAGCAAUUCGCUCUAGGACGGGACCGCGUCCCAUUAGCUAGUUGGUGGGGUAAUGGCCUACCAAGGCUCCGAUGGGUAGCUGGUUUGAGAGAAUGACCAGCCACACUGGGACUGAGAAACGGCCCAGACUCCUACGGGAGGCAGCAGUGAGGAAUUUUCCGCAAUGGGGGAAACCCUGACGGAGCGACGCCGUGUGUGGGAAGAAGGCCUUCGGGUCGUAAACCACUGUCGAGGGGGACGAUACUGACGGUACCCCUGGAGGAAGCCCCGGCUAACUACGUGCCAGCAGCCGCGGUAAGACGUAGGGGGCAAGCGUUGUUCGGAAUUAUUGGGCGUAAAGCGCUCGUAGGCGGGUUAGGAAGUCCGUGAAGAAAGA
rnacentral:rRNA from 1 species